UGUAGGUUAAGAAUUAAUCCGGUUUACUGUUUAUACAGAUUGUGGCCUCAUACACGACUAAGGGUGAGACAAAAACCAGUCUUCUCCUGACCUCAGGAUGGUGGGGAUUAUCUCGUCAUUUCCAUUAUGUACCAGAAAUAUUAGCAGCUUUCUUCUGGACUGUACCGACUCUUUUCAACCAUUUUCUUCCUUACUUUUAUGUAGUAUUUCUUACCAUCCUUCUGUUUGACCGAGC